rnacentral:siRNA from 1 species
GUAAUUCCAGUGGUUGUGGGCCUU